rnacentral:lncRNA from 1 species
UACCCCACAUUUCUUUUCCUUUGCUAAUUUUCUUUCAAACCAAAAAAAAAGGAAUAAUUCUAUCCUUUUUUUGCUUCUCAUUCUUUACUUCCCCAGAUUUCCUUCCUUCCACAUUAAUUCCUUUCGAAAAUAGUACUAUUGUUAAUCAUCAUUGUCCUAACAAAACUCAGAUUAUCUACUACUGAUGAUUGGACUAUGGACUCAGCCAUAUUGUUGCAGUGCAAUAGGA